GGCCUUGGCCAACGCCUUCAUGGCCACCGUCUCGGGCGCGGUGAGCAUGAUCGUCGGCUCGGAACCGACCGUGGCCC
rnacentral:tRNA from 1 species